rnacentral:SRP_RNA from 2 species
GCCGGGCGUGGUGGCGCUCGCCUGUAAUCCCAGCUACUUGGGAGGCUGAGGCAGGAGUAUUGCUUGAACCCGGGAGGUGGAGGUUGCAGUGAGCCAAGAUCAUGCCACUGCACCCCAGCCUGGGUGACAGAGCAAGACUCCGUCUCAA